rnacentral:rRNA from 1 species
AACGAACGCUGGCGGCAGGCUUAACACAUGCAAGUCGAACGGGUGUAGCAAUACAUCAGUGGCAGACGGGUGAGUAACACGUGGGAACCUUCCUAGGGGUACGGAACAACUCAGGGAAACUUGAGCUAAUACCGUAUACGUCCGUGAGGAGAAAGAUUUAUCGCCCUUAGACGGGCCCGCGUCGGAUUAGCUAGUUGGUGGGGUAACGGCCUACCAAGGCGACGAUCCGUAGCUGAUCUUAGAGGAUGAUCAGCCACACUGGGGCUGAGACACGGCCCAGACUCCUACGGGAGGCAGCAGUGGGGAAUCUUGGACAAUGGGCGCAAGCCUGAUCCAGCCAUGCCGCGUGAGCGAAGAAGGUCUUCGGAUUGUAAAGCUCUUUUGCCAGGGACGAUAAUGACGGUACCUGGAGAAUAAGCCCCGGCAAACUUCGUGCCAGCCGCCGCAGUAAUAC